rnacentral:tRNA from 1 species
GGGUGGUGGAAUUGGUAGACACGCAGGACUUAAAAUCCUGUGACCUUAACAGUCGUACGGGUUCAAGUCCCGUCCC